rnacentral:miRNA from 1 species
CACUGCGAAACCUGCAGGAGCUGCCGAAGGCUGCGAUCUUUUGAUGUUGAUGUUUAAAAAUCAAAAGAUCGCAGCCUACGGCAGCUCCUACAUUUCGG